UACGAAGGGGGCUAGCGUUGCUCGGAAUCACUGGGCGUAAAGCGCACGUAGGCGGCUCUUUAAGUCAGGGGUGAAAUCCUGGAGCUCAACUCCAGAACUGCCUUUGAUACUGAGGAUCUUGAGUCCGGGAAAGGUGAGUGGAACUCCGAGUGUAGAGGUGAAAUUCGUAGAUAUUCGGAAGAACACCAGUGGCGAAGGCGGCUCACUGGCCCGGUACUGACGCUGAGGUGCGAAAGCGUGGGGAGCAAACAGG
rnacentral:rRNA from 1 species